rnacentral:rRNA from 1 species
UACGAAGGGAGCUAGCGUUGUUCGGAAUCACUGGGCGUAAAGCGCACGUAGGCGGAUGUGUCAGUCAGGGGUGAAAUCCCGGAGCUCAACUUCGGAACUGCCUUUGAUACAGCACGUCUUGAGUCCGAUAGAGGUGGGGUGGAAUUCCUAGUGUAGAGGUGAAAUUCGUAGAUAUUAGGAAGAACACCGGUGGCGAAGGCGGCCCACUGGAUCGGUACUGACGCUGAGGUGCGAAAGCGUGGGGAGCAAACAGGG